AACAGUCCUGAUGAGGUGAAAGAACGCCCAAGACCCAUUAAAGCAACUUCAGGGGAGCAGAGCCAAGCGCGGCACGGGAGGAGCCAGCGCUCGGGAGUUCAACACACGCGGACUAACGGCGCUUAACCAGGCAGGGGUGCGUGCUUCUGCGUUUAGAGCGGACGGUAAGAAACACAGAACCCGGGCGGGCGCUGGCGAGCCCGUCCUGCCGGUUCUGCCCCGACCGGGCGUGCAGCGCCGCGCUCAGCCCCUCGGCGCGGCCGAGCCGCCCGCACGCCGCGCCCCGUUCCGCGGGCCCCUCGGCGCUCCCACGCUGCGUUACGGGUUUCACACCCCACGCAGGAGUACAAGUGUGCAGUGACAAAAGCACAAGGUAACUGCAUAAAUCGUACUAUUGCGGAAUACGUACACUACCAAAUGGCUGAAACGCGCAGCCACGUUAAAGCACAGACACGCAGUGUGCCGUUCCCAUUAUGUAAGCACGCAUAAUUUUCGGUCUGUUUUCCGCCUCCUGCUACAAACGCCGCUUCCUCCAGCCCGGCCGCUGCUCCUUGUGCUAAUUCACAACACUCGGCGGCUCAUGAUUUUCAAAGCUUAGCACAACAUUUGCAGAACAAAACCAGAGGAGAUAAGAAAGAGUGAACCAAGCCCACGGAGCUCGUUCUGCUGGGGCUCGUGGUGCCCGACCGGCACAGCCACCAGGUCUGAGAUGCGCCAACAACAGCCGGUGCAGCCCCUGCAGGGACGGACCCACAGUCGGCUCCAGGGAAAUGGGUCACCAGCGCCGCAGCUGAACCACAGACCUAAAGCCAACAACCACCGGCUGUGUCCUGGAAACAGCACGGCUGUCACCAGCACGAAAUGUGGAAUUAGGAACAGUGAUGUUGGUGAAUAUCCAGAGCACAUGAAGCUUAACUGGGGCUUCGCUUGCCUCUACUUUUGCCCUGAAAUUCCAAAAAUCCUUAACCUAGGAAAAUAAAGAAAAAAUCAGAUUUAAACACA